CUCGUCAGCUAUGCCUUUAGCCCCUGGUGAAGCAGUGCCAGUCACACUUUGCCAGUCAAACGGAGAGGCAGCAGUAGUAAGACCAGACCAAAUCAAACCAAACCAAGCAAACCACGGGGAAUGGAGGUCAUGUGAGCACACAGCAUAAAGGCAGCUGCCCACAAGCCAGGAAGAGAAGCAUCAUCAGAAACCGACCAUACUGGCUUCCUGAUCUCAGACUUUCAGCCUCCAGAAUGGAUAUAUUUGGCAUUAAACUCGGGACAAAAGAAGACACAAACUUUAUCUUGUGGUUUGGGUCCUCCAAUCCUCAUAAAAGUGUGGUUUCACCUGUUACCUCAUAAAGGUG
rnacentral:lncRNA from 10 species